rnacentral:rRNA from 1 species
AUUGAACGCUGGCGGCAGGCCUAACACAUGCAAGUCGAACGGAGUGGCGGACGGGUGAGUAAGGUCUGGGAAACUGCCUGAUGGAGGGGGAUAACGUCCGGAAACGGGCGCUAAUACCGCAUACUAUCAGAUGGGCCGAGGUCGGAGUAGCUAGUUGGUGGGGUAAAGGCCUACCAAGGCGACGAUCCGUAACUGGUCUGAGAGGAUGAUCAGUCACACUGGAACUGAGACACGGUCCAGACUCCUACGGGAGGCAGCAGUGGGGAAUAUUGGACAAUGGGCGAAAGCCUGAUCCAGCCAUGCCGCGUGUGUGAAGAAGGUCUUCGGAUUGUAAAGCACUUUCAGCGGGGAGGCGUUACCCGCAGAAGAAGCACCGGCUAACUACGUGCCAGCAGCCGCGGUAAUUC